UCCAGCGGCGAAAGCACGUUGAAAGAACCACUUCCUAAUGGAUCAUUGAUGUCAAGCAACUUUGCACGUGGUUGAUAUCCGGAUGGGCGACCAUCUGGGCGAUCGCGUGCUUCUGGCU
rnacentral:rRNA from 1 species